rnacentral:lncRNA from 1 species
CUCCUGGAACAAGUGGCAGGAUAAUAUCUUGUACCUGUUGGAGAGACUAUAGCCUGCAAACAGUAAGAAGAUUCCCCUCUCUUUCUCAGUGGAUGUAAAGCAGUGAUUCUGCAUAAAUGUAUCAACACUAUAGCUCAACUCCUUCUGGAGUGGACUUCCCCUAGACCUGGAGAGCGAGUCCUGCCUAGCAUACACGGCCUGAAGUUCGAGAUCUCUUCCAAUUCAGGUCAACAAGAAAACUCAAUUCCUCUUCAGGAAGUUAAGUGACUUAAAGAUUACAUAAGAGCUAAGAAGACAAGCCAGCUAAGCAUGUUCAAGACCGGGCUUUUUGAAACUGCACUAAUUGAUCAUAACGAGACGGGGUUUCACCAUGUUGCCCAGGCUGGUCUAGAAGUCCUGGGCUGAAGCGAUCCGACCGCCUCCCAAAGUGCUGGGAUUACAGGAGUGAGCCAUCUCGCCCAGCCGAAAAAGUGUUUUUUGAUCUUAAAAUCUUACGUGGAAUGAAAGUGAACAAUGAGGCAAUGAAAGUGGAAGUUUCUCUUAAGCAAACACAGAAGUCAACCAUUCCAGCUUUCUAAGGCGUAGAGGCCCCCGGUUUAUCUUGGAACCUCAAGAGGAGAGAAAAUUCACCCAACUCACAGGUAUUUGAUGGCACAAAUCCAUGGCUGGGCUCUGCUUUAAAAACAUCUUAUCUGGUAUUCCUUCUAUGGAACAAGGUUCCAUCAAAGCCAAUAUAAAGCCUAUGUAAAAAAUAAUUUUUUUUGCACUGUA